GAAAAGAAAAUAACAAUGAUUCCCUCAGUAACGGCGAGUGAACAGGGAAAAGCUCAAAGUUGGAACCUCCUGGGCCUAGCCUAGGCGGAUUGUAAACUAAAGUCUACGAGUAGUUCGGCUAGCCUGGUUAUCAAGUCCUCUGGAAAGGGGCGACAUAGAGGGUGAAACCCCCGUUUAUGGCCAGAGAUUAGUCCUACGUUCGCUUGGGGACGAAGAGUCAGGUUGUUUGGGAAUGCAGCCUAAAGUGGGAGGUAAAUCUCUCCUAAAGCUAAAUAUUGACGAAAGACCGAUAGCGAACAAGUACCGUGAGGGAAAGAUGAAAAGCACUUUGAAAAGAGGGUCAAAAAGUACGUGAAAUUGCUAAAAGGGAACCGUAUGAAAUCAGUCUGAUCUUUUGAUAAUCAACCUGGGCUUUGGCCUGGGUGCACUUGUCAUUGGAUUAGCCAGCAGCAGUUUGAUUCAAAGGAAAAAACUUGGAGGAAUGUGGCCUCGGCUUCGGUCGAGGUGUUUAUAGCCUUUAGGAAAAUACUUUGGGUUGGACUGAGGAAUGCAGCGGGCCGUUUAUUCGGCAAAGGGCUUGGGAUGCUUUGCAGGGUAUAUGCGAAAAUCUCUACUUCGGGUAGUGUUUGUAUAUUAUCAGGUAAACUCGUUCUAAUUCUCCUUUCUCUCGCUUAGGUUGUUGGCCUA
rnacentral:rRNA from 1 species